rnacentral:rRNA from 1 species
UACGGAGGAUCCAAGCGUUAUCCGGAUUUAUUGGGUUUAAAGGGUGCGUAGGCGGAAGAUUAAGUCGGUGGUGAAAUUUUGCAGCUCAACUGUAAAAGUGCCUUCGAAACUGGUUUCCUUGAGUGUAGAUGAAGUAGGCGGAAUGUGUGGUGUAGCGGUGAAAUGCUUAGAGAUCACACAGAACACCGAUUGCGAAGGCAGCUAACAAAGCCUUUUCUGACGCUGAGGCACGAAAGCGUGGGGAGCAAACAGGAUUAGAUACCCUGGUAGU